UACGUAGGGGGCGAGCGUUGUCCGGAUUUAUUGGGCGUAAAGAGCGUGUAGGCGCCAGGUAGGUCUGCUGUGAAAACUCGAGGCUCAACCUCGAGACGUCGGCGGAAACCAUCUGGCUAGAGUCCGGAAGAGGAGAGUGGAAUUCCUGGUGUAGCGGUGAAAUGCGCAGAUAUCAGGAAGAACACCCGUGGCGAAGGCGGCUCUCUGGGACGGUACUGACGCUGAGACGCGAAAGCGUGGGAGCGAACAGG
rnacentral:rRNA from 1 species